rnacentral:rRNA from 1 species
UGCCAGCAGCCGCGGUAAUACGGAGGGUGCAAGCGUUGUUCGGAAUUACUGGGCGUAAAGCGCGCGUAGGCGGCUAUUUAAGUCAGGGGUGAAAUCCCGGGGCUCAACCCCGGAACUGCCUCUGAUACUGGUAGUCUUGAGUUCGAGAGAGGUGAGUGGAAUUCCGAGUGUAGAGGUGAAAUUCGUAGAUAUUCGGAGGAAUACCGGUGGCGAAGGCGACCACCUGGCCAGAUACUGACGCUGAGGUGCGAAAGCGUGGGGAGCAAACAGGAUUAGAUA